rnacentral:lncRNA from 1 species
CAUUCAAAGCUCGCGUCCCUUCAAGUUGAAUCUUCCGGCUUUGUGCGAUUUACCCUCUCAAACUUUCUAGUUUGCAAGUCAGAAUUACUUUGAACGUCCCCUCUUCUGGACUCCCCUCCCCAAAGGGACUGGCGGCAAAGGAGAAUAGAAUGCAGAUGGUUAAUAGUUCAAAUGAAAUUUAAAAACCUAUAAACCAAUAUUUUUUUAGAGGAGAAAAGCGUUCACCAAACCGCCACCCGGCAAGCGAGCAUCCGAUUUCCAUCCGGAGGAAAAAAUAUUUUAAAAACCAGACAUAAAAUUCCCUUUGCAAGAAAAGUGGCCUCUAAACUCCCUUGCCAAGGACACUGGGAGGAAGCAGAAAAGCAAAGACCAAGCUCGUACUUUUCAGUCCGCGGCUUGUGUGCCGCGAGGAGAGGCGCAAAGGGUGACACACCAGGAAACGCGGCCGCCCAGCGCCCGUCCCCGCGCCGCACUCCCCGGCACUCCCCGGCGCUCCCCGCGCCGCGCGCCCCGCACCGGCUGGAGGCCCCGGCCCCCCGGCGUUCCCUCUCCGCGCACCUCCCGGCCCGCGCUAGCGCGGGGGCGCCCCCCUCGGCCGGGCGCUCGGGUUUCAGCCGCCGCUCCUCCGCGCCCCGCCCGCGCCUGGCCCGCUCGCCGGCGCCGGGAGAGACCUCGUAACGGAACUGGGACGCCAGCGCUGCAUUGUGGGAGCUUUUAAAGCGGCGGGGAGCUCGGCGCGACCCUCGGGCCCACCGGGCCACGCUCGCCCGGCCCGCGACGCCCCCCCGCUGUCGCCUGGCCCGCGACGCACCGAGGCCUGAGGACCCGAAAGCCGGGCGCGGGGAGAUGACCGGUGGCUCGUGACGGUCCCACGGGCAAAAUCUUCCAUCGCCCGGGGCUGAGACUUGUCAAACUGCCCUCUACGGUCACCCGGAAAGUAGGAGGCUUUUUCUGCAGAGGGGAAAAAAAUCAAAAAGAGCCGUUCCAUCCCCCCUCCAAGGACUGGGUUUGAAUUGCUUUUCAUCUGCAGUGGCUGUGAUUCAGCGUCCCUCUUAGCAGCAGGCAAUGACAGAGGCAGGAGAGGGGAAAAAAAAAAAGAAAGAAAGAAAAAACACAGCAAAUGAAUCAAACGGACGUAUCUGACUCAGGACCUGAUUUAAGGUUUGGGGUUUUUUGGCCCUUUGUUUCUUCCUCUUGUUUUUUGACCUUUAGUUACUCCACACCUCAUUAGUUCCUUGACCUGCAGGUGGACUGAGAAGAGAGCCAUUUAACCCUACUUGACUCUUUUCAAAGGAGUUGCCUAGCCUUAAGCAGGUAGCAGGCAAGAGUGUGGUUAUCGUUGGACCAGGAUUCAGGAUCUGACUGAGUAGCUGACUCUUAAUCCAGUUUGUGUUGAUCACCAGGAGGAUCUGGACCUCAGUAUUACCACAUCUAGAGCUAUAAUCACAUCCCUGUUAAGCCUUCCUGAGAUCACACCAAAUGUCCUUGAUGGGAAUUGUAAACAACCCUUACUUCUGGUUUCUAAUGAUAUUCCAGGAAAGGAGCCUAACUAGAGUCGGUGAUAUGCCAACUCCACCUUUGCCUUCCACCAUGUUUGGAAGCUCCCUGAGGCCUCACCAGGAGCAGAUGCUCGUCCCAUGCUUCCUAUAAGCCUGCAGAACUGUGAGCCAUAAUAAACUGUGAAUUAUAAAUUGCCUUUAUAGCAAUGCAAAUGGACCAGUACAGAUGGGAUGCUGGGAAGACAGUUGUUUCCACCUUCAGUAAAGUCCGUGGAACACAGUUGUGACUAUAUUCUAGGCCAGCCAAGAUGCUUGUACUCAGAAAGGAGUGGUCUCAGGACCAUAAGAAAGUGAAAAAAUAAAAAUAAGAAAAUAAAGAAGGGAUUGUCAAUGAAUCAGAAUUCAUCAAGGUCAAAGUCUUAGGAAAUUCCUUCAUGAGGAAGUCUAGGGGGGCUAUGGAAAUGAAAUUUUUAAACAAAUAGGUAUGUGGUGCUGGCAGGAAUAAAUUAUGGACUUAUGAAUAUAACAUAAGAUUCUUUAUUACCUGGUCUCACCCGUCUUUCCACCUCUGCCCCCCUUCUUGCCCGACUCUGUGUAUCACCCAUAAUAAACUACUUACAGCUUCCUAGUGUUAAAUUUACCCUAGGGAAAAGAAAGCUGGAUAAAGUAUUUAUAGAAGAUAGAGGACCUGUGGUGGCUCAUGCCUGUAAUCCAAGGUGGAAGGAUUGCUUGAGGCCAGAAGUUCAAGACCAGUCCAAGCAACAUAGCAAGGCCCCAUCUCUACAAAAAAUGAAAAUAAAAUUAGCCGAGCGUGAUGGCUCAUGCCUGUAGUUCUAGCUUCUAGAGAGGCUGAGGCAGGAGGAUUGCUUGAGUCCAGGAGUUCAAGAUUACAGUGAGCUAUGGUCACACCACUGCACUCCAGCCUGGGUGAUGGAGUGAGACUGUCUCAAUAAAAAGACAAAAAGGCUGGCCAGGGGCAGUGGUUCAUGCCUGUAAACCCAGCACUUUGGGAGGCAAAGGCAGGAGGAUUGCUUAAGCCCAGGAAUUUGAGAUCAGCCUGGACAACAUGGUCAAGGAAGCUUUUCCUGAUCCACUAACUAAGGACAAUCAAACCCUUCAUGAUCUAGAAUCUGGAGACUGUGUCUUCUGGGAAUAGUAUCAGAGAAAGACUGCCCUUACUGCCCACAUGUAGCAAAACUUUGAGACGUUGAAUUAUGGGUCCAUAAUCUCACAACUCAGAGGGGCACCUCUAGACUCUUGGAACUGUAUAUCUAUUGGAGACUUUAAGGUAAAGCUGAACAGAGAGACGUUUUUCUCCAGAAGCAGACAGCACCAUAGUCAUGGACAGCUUUCCCAAGAUCACAGAUCAAGACUUCUCUGCCGUCAUGAGACUCAUAACCUCUUAAUUUUUUCUUGCUUAUGCUUCUGUGAACAAUAGAAUUGGAAAAGGGGUGGUCCCGCGUGCACCCAUAGGGUAUACUUUUAUUUGUGGAGGAUUUUGCUGCCAACCUUAUACAUGGGCAAACUUAUGCCUUCAUGGAUGGAAGAUAAAGGGCUAAUAUGGGUUAGAAAUUUUAAUGGUACCUUUGUUUCUCCAUAAUCAUUCAGAAACAGAACACUGGUCCACUCUUGUUAACCUACAUCAUAGGUUGAAGAGAACAUUGCCAGGAGGCCUUCAUCCUUCCAGAUGGGCACCAUUUGUUGGGUCUUUUUCCGUGGUAUGAAGAAAAUGAAGCAAUGAUUAGAAAUUGGUCCCUCGGCCGGGCACAAUGGCUCAUGCCUGUAAUCCCAUCACUUUGGCAGGCCGAGGCGGGUGGAUCACCUGAGGUCAGGAGUUUGAGACCAGCCUGACCAAUGUGGUGAAACGCCAUCUCUACUAAAAAUACAAAAAUUAGCUGGGUGUGAUGGUGCACACCUGUAAUCCAGCUACUCGGGAGGCUGAGACAGGAGAAUUGCUUGAACCUGGGAGGCAGAGGUUGCAGUGAGCCAAGAUCACCCCACUGCAUUCCAGGUUGGGCAACAGAGCAAGACUCUGUCUCAAAAAAAAAAGAAGAAAGAAAGAAAUUGAUCCCUCAUAAUAGGCUGUAUAGCAGAUUCUACUGCAAAGGCUAUGGUUGCACAACAGACUUCUUUGAAUUUGCUUGCUAAACUUUUACUGGAUAAUACUGGGAUUACAGGUGUGAGCCACUGUGCCCAGCCUCUCCUGUUUAACUGUAUUCAUUCUAAUGUUUACUUACUUCUUUAAUUUGUAAAAUUGGGUCACUUAGAGUUUUUUUAGCCUAUCUUGCCAUUUAGCCACUGUUACUGAUAAUUUGGAUGGAAAAGAAAAAUAAAUUAUAUCACCUCUGGUAGAAGGCCAUCCUAGGAAACAAUCCCAUGAGUGAUGUUUCAUGAAUUAUCUUCGUGAACCGGAGCAAGUCGCUUUGCCUUCCUGAACCUUCUCUGAGAUGGAAGGGUGAUCUGAAAAUAUGCCUCCCGGGUAAACCUCAGCCCUGGCUGGCAGAUCUGGCUGGCUAAUGGGACUCGUUUUAGCGUUCUGAAUCUGUGAAUCACAAAUUAGAAUUGGUGCCUUUGGAAGAGGAGAUGGGACAUGAAGCCUGCUCCACCUUCUGAUAAUGCCCUAAAGAGCAGCUCAAAAUACAGCUAAAAGAACCCAGAAAACAAAAUAGAACGCAGAAGAUGAACCAGAAGAUGCCCAGGAGCUCAGUGAAUAAGAGUGGAUGAAGAUGGGUACGGGAGAAAUAGCAAGAAAA